GACGAACGCUGGNGGCGUGCUUAACACAUGCAAGUCGAACGUGAUUUUUGUGGAAAUUCUUUCGGGAAUGGAAAUGAAAUGAAAGUGGCGAACGGGUGAGUAACACGUGAGCAACCUACCUUACACAGGGGGAUAGCCGUUGGAAACGACGAUUAAUACCGCAUGAGACCACAGAAUCGCAUGAUAUAGGGGUCAAAGAUUUAUCGGUGUAAGAAGGGCUCGCGUCUGAUUAGCUAGUUGGAAGGGUAAAGGCCUACCAAGGCGACGAUCAGUAGCCGGUCUGAGAGGAUGAACGGCCACAUUGGAACUGAGACACGGUCCAAACUCCUACGGGAGGCAGCAGUGGGGAAUAUUGCACAAUGGGGGGAACCCUGAUGCAGCGACGCCGCGUGAGCGAAGAAGGUUUUCGAAUCGUAAAGCUCUGUCCUAUGAGAAGAUAAUGACGGUAUCAUAGGAGGAAGCCCCGGCUAAAUACGUGCCAGCAGCCGCGGUAAUACGUAUGGGGCGAGCGUUGUCCGGAAUUAUUGGGCGUAAAGGGUACGUAGGCGGUUUUUUAAGUCAGGUGUGAAAGCGUGAGGCUUAACCUCAUUAAGCACUUGAAACUGGAAGACUUGAGUGAAGGAGAGGAAAGUGGAAUUCCUAGUGUAGCGGUGAAAUGCGUAGAUAUUAGGAGGAAUACCGGUGGCGAAGGCGACUUUCUGGACUUUUACUGACGCUCAGGUACGAAAGCGUGGGGAGCAAACAGG
rnacentral:rRNA from 1 species